GGGUUGUGAGGUUAAGCGACUAAGCGUACACGGUGGAUGCCCUGGCAGUCAGAGGCGAUGAAGGACGUGCUAAUCUGCGAUAAGCGUCGGUAAGGUGAUAUGAACCGUUAUAACCGGCGAUUUCCGAAUGGGGAAACCCAGUGUGUUUCGACACACUAUCAUUAACUGAAUCCAUAGGUUAAUGAGGCGAACCGGGGGAACUGAAACAUCUAAGUACCCCGAGGAAAAGAAAUCAACCGAGAUUCCCCCAGUAGCGGCGAGCGAACGGGGAGCAGCCCAGAGCCUGAAUCAGUGUGUGUGUUAGUGGAAGCGUCUGGAAAGGCGCGCGAUACAGGGUGACAGCCCCGUACACAAAAAUGCACAUGCUGUGAGCUCGAUGAGUAGGGCGGGACACGUGGUAUCCUGUCUGAAUAUGGGGGGACCAUCCUCCAAGGCUAAAUACUCCUGACUGACCGAUAGUGAACCAGUACCGUGAGGGAAAGGCGAAAAGAACCCCGGCGAGGGGAGUGAAAAAGAACCUGAAACCGUGUACGUACAAGCAGUGGGAGCACGCUUAGGCGUGUGACUGCGUACCUUUUGUAUAAUGGGUCAGCGACUUAUAUUCUGUAGCAAGGUUAACCGAAUAGGGGAGCCGAAGGGAAACCGAGUCUUAACUGGGCGUUAAGUUGCAGGGUAUAGACCCGAAACCCGGUGAUCUAGCCAUGGGCAGGUUGAAGGUUGGGUAACACUAACUGGAGGACCGAACCGACUAAUGUUGAAAAAUUAGCGGAUGACUUGUGGCUGGGGGUGAAAGGCCAAUCAAACCGGGAGAUAGCUGGUUCUCCCCGAAAGCUAUUUAGGUAGCGCCUCGUGAAUUCAUCUCCGGGGGUAGAGCACUGUUUCGGCAAGGGGGUCAUCCCGACUUACCAACCCGAUGCAAACUGCGAAUACCGGAGAAUGUUAUCACGGGAGACACACGGCGGGUGCUAACGUCCGUCGUGAAGAGGGAAACAACCCAGACCGCCAGCUAAGGUCCCAAAGUCAUGGUUAAGUGGGAAACGAUGUGGGAAGGCCCAGACAGCCAGGAUGUUGGCUUAGAAGCAGCCAUCAUUUAAAGAAAGCGUAAUAGCUCACUGGUCGAGUCGGCCUGCGCGGAAGAUGUAACGGGGCUAAACCAUGCACCGAAGCUGCGGCAGCGACGCUUAUGCGUUGUUGGGUAGGGGAGCGUUCUGUAAGCCUGCGAAGGUGUGCUGUGAGGCAUGCUGGAGGUAUCAGAAGUGCGAAUGCUGACAUAAGUAACGAUAAAGCGGGUGAAAAGCCCGCUCGCCGGAAGACCAAGGGUUCCUGUCCAACGUUAAUCGGGGCAGGGUGAGUCGACCCCUAAGGCGAGGCCGAAAGGCGUAGUCGAUGGGAAACAGGUUAAUAUUCCUGUACUUGGUGUUACUGCGAAGGGGGACGGAGAAGGCUAUGUUGGCCGGGCGACGGUUGUCCCGGUUUAAGCGUGUAGGCUGGUUUUCCAGGCAAAUCCGGAAAAUCAAGGCUGAGGCGUGAUGACGAGGCACUACGGUGCUGAAGCAACAAAUGCCCUGCUUCCAGGAAAAGCCUCUAAGCAUCAGGUAACAUCAAAUCGUACCCCAAACCGACACAGGUGGUCAGGUAGAGAAUACCAAGGCGCUUGAGAGAACUCGGGUGAAGGAACUAGGCAAAAUGGUGCCGUAACUUCGGGAGAAGGCACGCUGAUAUGUAGGUGAAGCGACUUGCUCGUGGAGCUGAAAUCAGUCGAAGAUACCAGCUGGCUGCAACUGUUUAUUAAAAACACAGCACUGUGCAAACACGAAAGUGGACGUAUACGGUGUGACGCCUGCCCGGUGCCGGAAGGUUAAUUGAUGGGGUCAGCGCAAGCGAAGCUCUUGAUCGAAGCCCCGGUAAACGGCGGCCGUAACUAUAACGGUCCUAAGGUAGCGAAAUUCCUUGUCGGGUAAGUUCCGACCUGCACGAAUGGCGUAAUGAUGGCCAGGCUGUCUCCACCCGAGACUCAGUGAAAUUGAACUCGCUGUGAAGAUGCAGUGUACCCGCGGCAAGACGGAAAGACCCCGUGAACCUUUACUAUAGCUUGACACUGAACAUUGAGCCUUGAUGUGUAGGAUAGGUGGGAGGCUUUGAAGUGUGGACGCCAGUCUGCAUGGAGCCGACCUUGAAAUACCACCCUUUAAUGUUUGAUGUUCUAACGUGGACCCGUGAUCCGGGUUGCGGACAGUGUCUGGUGGGUAGUUUGACUGGGGCGGUCUCCUCCUAAAGAGUAACGGAGGAGCACGAAGGUUGGCUAAUCCUGGUCGGACAUCAGGAGGUUAGUGCAAUGGCAUAAGCCAGCUUGACUGCGAGCGUGACGGCGCGAGCAGGUGCGAAAGCAGGUCAUAGUGAUCCGGUGGUUCUGAAUGGAAGGGCCAUCGCUCAACGGAUAAAAGGUACUCCGGGGAUAACAGGCUGAUACCGCCCAAGAGUUCAUAUCGACGGCGGUGUUUGGCACCUCGAUGUCGGCUCAUCACAUCCUGGGGCUGAAGUAGGUCCCAAGGGUAUGGCUGUUCGCCAUUUAAAGUGGUACGCGAGCUGGGUUUAGAACGUCGUGAGACAGUUCGGUCCCUAUCUGCCGUGGGCGCUGGAGAACUGAGGGGGGCUGCUCCUAGUACGAGAGGACCGGAGUGGACGCAUCACUGGUGUUCGGGUUGUCAUGCCAAUGGCACUGCCCGGUAGCUAAAUGCGGAAGAGAUAAGUGCUGAAAGCAUCUAAGCACGAAACUUGCCCCGAGAUGAGUUCUCCCUGACCCUUUAAGGGUCCUGAAGGAACGUUGAAGACGACGACGUUGAUAGGCCGGGUGUGUAAGCGCAGCGAUGCGUUGAGCUAACCGGUACUAAUGAACCGUGAGGCUUAACCUUACAACGCCGAAGCUGUU
rnacentral:rRNA from 1 species